CUCCGCGAAGCAGCCGGCGGCGGCCGGAGAGAGCGGGGGGGUGCUGCGGGUGCAAAUUGAUCUGGGUUACAGAGGGGCUGCACGUUAAGAUUAUCAUCAAGGGCGGAAAUGAGAUUGAUGUUUGCUUUAACUUCUUCAAUAAAGGCUAGAAGAUGACCAAGUAAACGCUGGAACAACGAAAAGCUAAAUGGUUUAUAUGAUUUGGUUAUGUUCAAUAUAUUGACUUUGUACCUUCUAGUGUGCUAGAGCGACACGAUCAGAAUGAAAAUAGUUGAAUAUUUGGUAGAACCAAGGGUUCGCAAAUAUGUAUUUUGUUUGUUUGGUCUUUGAUUGGGGGUCCGUACAACUAUAUGAGCAUUCGUUUUCUGUGUGGGAUCUUGGUUAGGGUCCUACAGAAUUGUAAUAGCUAUUCCGGGCCGUUCCGUUAGUUGCAAAAAUAAAUUGCAGUCAAUAUUACAUCA